UACUAUUUCCAAUCACCGUUACUUGAAGCUGCUGCCGGCUAAAAGAAGCUGAGCAAGCUCCAUGCGCAUAUGCCCACUGAUGUAACCUGGAGAGAUGGUCACUUCUGUGCACACCAUCCUUCCUGGCCAAGUCGUGUGGAAAGGCAUCCAAGACACGCUUGACCUUGGAUCACUUUCUGCAAGAAGAUCCAGGAGGAGGCAUCUCUUUUGCAUGGUUUCUCGUGACACUGAGAGUAUACUGUGGAUCAGCCCUGCAGGGGCAGCAAGCUGAAGAACAAAGCCAGAACCUAUGAAGAAGUUCUGGGGAUUGUGUCGAAAACAGCACAAGUGUAAGGGAACGUUUUACUUGGUAACCAGAUACACUUAAUAUACUUUGCAACUCUAAGAUGUUUUUUUGAUCGCUGCAGAUUCAACAGAUGUCACAGAUUUUUCACCAUUUCUCUGUAUGUACAAUAAAUGCUCGGUCCUGUACUCUAUGACUUGUGUCACACAUUACUGCAUGACUUGCAAUUCCAUUAAAGGAAGACAAACACAAUUACACAUCCUUCGGUGCUGUUCCCAAAUUUGUGGGA